rnacentral:rRNA from 1 species
CCCUUAGAUGUUCUGGGCCGCACGCGCGCUACACUGAUGCAUUCAACGAGUCUAAAACCUGGUCUGAGAGGGCUGGGUAAUCUUUUGAAAGUGCAUCGUGAUUGGGAUAGAUGAUUGCAAUUCUUCAUCUUCAACGAGGAAUGCCUAGUAAACGCAAGUCAUCAGCUUGCAUUGAUUACGUCCCUGCCCUUUGUACACACCGCCCGUCGCUCCUACCGAUUGAACGAUCCGAUGAAAACUGUGGAUUGAGAGUCUGAGUGGGUUCGCCUACCCCAACUUUCGAGAAGCGGUUUAAAUCUUAUCGUUUAGAGGAAGGAGAAGUCGUAACA